CGUUUUGUAGCUCAGAUGGUAGAGCGUCAGUGUCAAAACUGGAAACGUGGGUUCGAGUCCCACCGGAACAA
rnacentral:tRNA from 1 species